AUACGGAGGAUCCGAGCGUUAUCCGGAUUUAUUGGGUUUAAAGGGUGCGCAGGCGGCCAUUUAAGUCAGCGGUUAAAUCGUGGGGCUCAACCCCAUUCUGCCGUUGAUACUGGGUGGCUUGAUUGCGGUCGAGGUUGGCGGAAUUCGUUGUGUAGCGGUGAAAUGCAUAGAUAUGACGAAGAACACCGAUUGCGUAGACAGGUGACCAGACCGCAAAUGACGCUCAUGCUCGAAAGUGCUGGAAUCUAACAGGAUUAGAUACCCUGGUAGUCCGCACAGUAAACGAUGAAUACUUGUUUUCGGCGAUAUAAUGUCGGAGGCAAAGCGAAAGCGAUAAGUAUUCCACCUGGGGAGUACGCCGGCAACGGUGAAACUCAAAGGAAUUGACGGGU
rnacentral:rRNA from 1 species